rnacentral:rRNA from 1 species
AUGCCUGGAAUUGAUCCAGAACGAGAGACAGAUGCCGAACCUGAUCCAGAACCGGAACUAGAACCACCACCACCACUACCACCACCUACACCAAUACCGACUCCAACACCAAGUCCAAGACCUAGACCACCUGACCCUGAUCCUGAUCCCGAGCCCGACCCCGAACCAGACCCUGAACCAGAACCUGACCCUGAUCCGGAACCGGAUCCCGAGCCCGAGCCAGAACCACCCGCGCCCACACCAGCACCCAAGCUGAUACCAAUUCCAACCCCGCCAAUGCCAAGGUUGAGACCAAGGUCCUUCCGAGCAGAGCGGCUCUCGCCCACCGGGGCAAGCGAUGCACCAGCGACAAGUACAACUACAAAAGCAAUGGCCUUAAUGCAGACCAUUGUGCCCACUGCCCUCUCUUGUCUCUAUCUCAACAGUGAACGAGUGAGUGAGUAG